GAAAAAAAAAAAGCGUUAGGAAACAACUUUCCCAAAAUCACUUUAUUUCUACAGCCGUUUGACGGAGAAAAAAAAAUCUCUAAGGGUUUCUAUGGUUUCACAAAAAAAUCUCUCUCGAGUCUUGCAGAAACGGAAAAUUCUCAGAUUAAUUUCGCCUGAAACCGAGACCGAUUGGUUGAGUUUCUCGCUCGUCGUCGUCGUCGAGAUUGGAUCCAACAGAAGACAUUAUGGUAACAGGAACAGCCUCCUCGAUCAUUAGCUCAUGGAGAGGCAGGCGCUAAGGCCAUCUUUACUAAACUAGGAGAGAAUCUAAGAAUAUGCCUCUUCGCAAUGUUCAGAGGCUCAUAGCAGAUCAUAGUGAUGAAGCAGUUUGAUGUGAUCUUCUUGGUUUUGUUUUGAAGCCUGGCUCCGCAUCAAACCGUCCUUUAAGGUAAAUUCUCUUUCUACGCUAGAUUUUCGCUCCGAUUUGUUUUGAAGCUUGAUUCCGGUUUCUGUUUUGAGAUGAUUUCUUUAUUUAACACACAUCUCAUGUCUUGGGGUUUUGACAUCAGCGUUCCUCUUUAACUGGUCUUUUUUGUGAAUUCAACAACGAAGUUAACAAAGCCUUCCAAUGCCUUUUGUUUUGUUGUUUUUGUCAAACCCAAGAUUUCAAAACCAAAAAGAUCAUAGGCAGACACUCAUCUAUAGUGCACUGUCAGAUUCUUAUUUUUGGAACACUGUCCCAUUGCUGCCUCUAGAAGAAAUUUGUUACCCACGGCUUGAGAAAGGUCUGUUUUUGAUUAUUAGGAUGGAUAUGGGGCAUAACGAUCAAAGAAGGAAGUCUUUAGACAAAGACUCCAAAUCAAAAACAGAUUCCUUACUUCACAAUACCCACGGCUUAUAGAAGUCUUAAGACAAAAGGUUUACAAUAGUUUUGAAGACAGAGACAGACAAAGUCUGUUUUUCAAAACCAAAAAGAUCAUAGGCAGGCACUAAUCUAUAGUGCACUGUCAGAUUCUUAUUUUUGGAACACUGUCCGGUUGCUGCCUCUAGAAGAAAUUUACUACCCACGGCUUGAGAAAUGUCUGUUUUUGAUUAUUUGGAUGGAUAUGGGGUAUACCGAUCAAAGGUUAAGGAAGUCUUUAGACAAAGACUCCAAAACAAAAACAGAUUCUUUACUUCACACUACCCACGGCUUAAAGACAAAUGCUUACGUCUUAAAGAUAAAUGCAUAAAGGCAUGUUGACCCACAGAUUUUAAAAGUCUUAAGACAAAAGGCUUACAAAAGUCUUAAAGACAGAGCAUACAAGUCUGUUUUUGAUUAUUUUUGGAUGGAAUGGGGGUAUAACGACCAAAGAUUAAGUAAGUCUUUAGACAAAGACUACAAAUCAAAAACAGAUUCCUUACUUCACAUUACCCACGGCUUACGUCUUAAAGACAAAAUGCAUAAAGGUAUGUUGACCCACAGGCUUACAAAAGUUUUAAAGACAA